CGCGGCCAUGGUGACCGACCGGAGGCGCAGGACUCGGACUCGGACAACGGUGGUAUGGUAGGCGUCAUGGAGCGGAGCUUGCUCUGUCCGGGACGCCAUGGAUCUGUUGCGCGUGAAGCUCUUUCUUCCUCCAGCACAAGAACGUACAAGCAGCAUCCAAGGACGAACCCGGCGGAAAACCCAUGGUGCCAUCUGCAGGACAAAUCGGUGUGCUA